CGGAGCCUUCUGGAUUCAUUUGCGCCUCCCCUCCCUCUUACCACUUCGUUCCAGCUUCUCAUCCUGAGCUACAGACAUUUUAAAUCUAGAUCGGAAGAGCAAGGCGUUAACCAAGGCCAAAUGGUUGAGCCAACAAUUCAUCCCUUCAGCAAGCGUUUAUCGAGCACUUACUGUGUAGCAAGCCCUGUGCCAGGUCUUGGGCAGGAGGUCCAUGAAGUAUGCUGCUGGGAUUUCAGUUGGGAUUGCAUUGAAUCUAUAUAGCAGUUUUGGAAGUAUGGCCAUUUUCACUAUGUUGAUCCUUCCUACCCAGGAGCAAGGCUGCAGGCUGCUGGGACCCAUGAACAUAAGGAGUGAGGAGGAGGCAAGGAGAGGCAACUUGAGAUGUGUUCCCAGAUCUCUGGAUCCAACAGCCUUGGCCUUGAGCCUAGUGUAGUGUGAGGAGUCCAGUCCUCUCUCAGUUCCUCCAGCCGCCCUGAGCCCUAAGUUUGAGUGCUUCUGCUUGCUGCCUUCCCAUCUACCAGCAAAAAGACAAUGUAGAGUGCCGGGGAUUUAGCUCAG
rnacentral:lncRNA from 1 species